rnacentral:rRNA from 1 species
GAUCAUGGCUCAGGAUGAACGCUAGCUACAGGCUUAACACAUGCAAGUCGAGGGGCAGCGGGGUUGAAGCUUGCUUCAACCGCCGGCGACCGGCGCACGGGUGAGUAACACGUAUCCAACCUGCCGAUAACUUCGGGAUAGCCUUUCGAAAGAAAGAUUAAUACCCAAUGAUAUCUCUAGAAGACAUCUGAAAGAGAUUAAAGAUUUAUCGGUGAUGGAUGGGGAUGCGU